rnacentral:rRNA from 1 species
AGAUUGAACGCUGGCGGCAUGCCUUACACAUGCAAGUCGAACGGCAGUACGGGGGCAACCCUGGUGGCGAGUGGCGAACGGGUGAGUAAUGCAUCGGAACGUGCCCAGUAGUGGGGGAUAACUAGUCGAAAGAUUAGCUAAUACCGCAUACGACCUAUGGGUGAAAGCGGGGGAUUCGCAAGAACCUCGCGCUAUCGGAGCGGCCGAUGCCUGAUUAGCUAGUUGGCGGGGUAAAAGCCCACCAAGGCUUCGAUCAGUAGCUGGUCUGAGAGGACGACCAGCCACACUGGGACUGAGACGACGCCAGACCU